UGGCGGCAGCCUACACAUGCAAGUCGAGCGGUUGAGGGAAGCUUGCUUCCUGAUUCAGCGGCGGACGGGUGAGUAAUGCCUAGGAAUCUGCCUGGUAGUGGGGGACAACGUUUCGAAAGGAACGCUAAUACCGCAUACGUCCUACGGGAGAAAGCAGGGGACCUUCGGGCCUUGCGCUAUCAGAUGAGCCUAGGUCGGAUUAGCUAGUUGGUGAGGUAAUGGCUCACCAAGGCGACGAUCCGUAACUGGUCUGAGAGGAUGAUCAGUCACACUGGAACUGAGACACGGUCCAGACUCCUACGGGAGGCAGCAGUGGGGAAUAUUGGACAAUGGGCGAAAGCCUGAUCCAGCCAUGCCGCGUGUGUGAAGAAGGUCUUCGGAUUGUAAAGCACUUUAAGUUGGGAGGAAGGGCAGUCAGCGAAUACCUUGCUGUCUUGACGUUACCGACAGAAUAAGCACCGGCUAACUCUGUGCCAGCAGCCGCGGUAAU
rnacentral:rRNA from 1 species